rnacentral:rRNA from 1 species
UACGAAGGGGGCUAGCGUGCUCGGAAUUACUGGGCGUAAAGCGCACGUAGGCGGAUUGUUAAGUCGGGGGUGAAAUCCUGGAGCUCAACUCCAGAACUGCCUUCGAUACUGGCGAUCUCGAGUUCGGGAGAGGUGAGUGGAACUGCGAGUGUAGAGGUGAAAUUCGUAGAUAUUCGCAAGAACACCAGUGGCGAAGGCGGCUCACUGGCCCGGUACUGACGCUGAGGUGCGAAAGCGUGGGGAGCAAACAGG